AAAGUAAAAAGAGAGUAUUAAAAUUUCUCAAUGUAAAAUCUGUAUUUUAGAACCACUCUACAAUAUAAGCAAAUAAUGUCUUUUUUACUGAUUACAUGCCUUUUUUGGGGGCCGGGGGGUUCUUUUUUGUUGAGACAAAGUCUUGCUCUGUUGCCCAGGCUGGAGUGCAGUGGCGUGAUGAGACUUCAAUGCAGCCUUGGUCUCCCAGGCUCAAGUGAUUCCCCCACCUCAGCCUCCCAAGUAACUGGCACCAUAAGAUAUGUGCCAUCGUGCCUGGGUAAGUUUUUUUUUUUUUUUUGUAGAGAUGCGGGUCUCACUGUUUUCCAGGCUGGUCUCAAACUCCUGGGCUCAAGUGAUCCUCCCACUUCAGCCUCACAAAGUGUUGGGAUUAUAGCCGUGAGCCACUGCAUCCAUCCAUAUGUCAUCCUUUAGACAUAUUACUUACUAAAUUUCUCUUUUUAAAGGAUAUACUGAAUUUCUGGUUGAGCCAACCUAACAGCUACUUUUAUUUUAGCUUUAAAACAUUGAUAAGCAACAUGAAGCAAUCUAGAACUUAACCUCUGAAUGGCUUUAUUAAAGAAAUCCAGCUAUGAAAAUUAUGCAGAAAUGAUUCUCUACAAACAAUCCUACCAGCACGUAAGAAAUUCUUCCUCCAUUCUGAAAUACCAUCUUCUCAUAACAUACUUUGAUGUUAUGAAUCAAUGUCUGUUCUUGAACAUUAUUUAUUGUCUUUCUCUAUUAAACAAUUCCAAAAUAAGAUUUCUAGCACAACUAAACAUUGUUGACAAUAAAAGAAUGAAAAAUAAAAUUCUUUUAAAACAGAAGCUUAUAUGCAACUUGGAAUCUAAAAUCAAUAGAUUUAUGGUAAACCUUAAAACUUAACCAAAACAAACAAAAACUAAAGUUUUAAUCAUUUAAAAAUCAUGUUUAUUGAGGUACAACUUACUUAUAGUAAAACCUGCCCUUUUCAGCAUAUAGCACUGAGUCUUGACAAAUGCACAGUUACGUACCAUCACUGACCAAGGCCUGGCACAUUUUCACCUCCUCAAAGUUCCCCCUGGCUGCUUCUCCCACUCUUUGGCAACCACUAAUCUGUUUUCUGUCCUUACAGUUCUGCUUUUUUCAGAAUGUCAUAUAAGUAGAAUCACACUGUACGUAAUCUUUUGAGUCUGACCUCUGUCAACUGGCAUAAUGCAUUUGAGAAUUAUCCAUGUACUGGCAGUGCAUUCUAUUUUUAUUGCUGAGCAGUAUUAAACUGCAUGGCUGUACCAGUUUGUUUAUUCAUUUGCUAGUUGAAGGAUAACUGAGACUUCCUAGUUUUUAGCAAUUUUAAAGAAAGUUUCUAUGAAUAAUUGUGUACAGGUUUUUCAUGAAAUGUUUUGGAGAUAUAAUUCAUAUAGCACAUAAUUCACCUUUUCAAAGUGCACAGUUCACUGGUUUUUAAUGUAUUCACAAGGUUUGUGCAUACGUUUCUGUGUGAAUACUGGUUUUCAUUCCUCUUGGAUAAAGAUAUUUAAUUUGGUAUUACCCUUCCAGACACCUGUGUUUUCAUACAUAUACAUGUACCACAGUUUGAUCUCAGGCAGAGAAGCAUUUUCAAAAUUUUACAUGGGGAAACUCUUUCUAGAGUUAAAGCCAUUUUCAUUUAUUUUUCUGUUCUGUCUGAUUUUAUCUGCAUAUUAUUUACAAUCGGCUGCAUAACAAAUUACUACAAACUUAGUACCUUAACACAUUUCACAGUUUCUGUGGGUCAGGAGAUCAGAAAUGGUUCUGUUUUCAAGGUCUCUCACAAGGGUGCAAUCAAGAUGUUGGCAUGGCUGGGGUCUCAUCUGAAGGCUGGACUGGAGAAGAAUCUACUUCCAAACUUAUGUGCUAGUUGGAAGAAUUUAGUUCCUCAAGGCUGCUAAGCUGAUGGCCUGUUCCUUGCCUAUGGGCCUGUCUGGGAUGGUAGCUUGUUUCAUCAAAGUGUUCAAGCAAUGAAGGCAGAGAGAGUCUGCUAGCAAGAUAGAAGCCACAAUCUCUUGUAAUUUAUCACUUUUGCUGUAUUCUACUGGUUAAAAAUAACUCAUUAGGUUAACCUACUGGCUCUCAAGGGGAAGAGAUUAUACAAAGGCAUGAAUUUCUGGAGGAGUGAAUGAGGGCAAAGAAUUCUGAGAAGUCUGGCUUCCACAAUCUUUAGAACUUCUAGAAAGUAAGAGGAAGAAAUAAUGCUUAGGGAUGGACAACUUGGCACUGGUUAUGUGUUCCAAGUGAGGUAACCUUGUUUCCAAGAAUAAAGAGAACCAGAUGACUGUGAACAUUUCCCUAAACUGAAAUGCAGACUGCUGUAUGUUCACCUGAAAUGAAUGGUAUAAGCCGAGUAUAAGAUUUUUGACAAAAUAAAAAUUUUGCUGUGUUCUCAGAUCUGGCAGGCCCCUGCCCUUGUGCAGACAAUGUUCCUGGCAGCUAUUCAUCUCCUUAGGUAAAUAAGAACUGGAGAAAAGCUGUGCCGAGAUAGGGUGCAUUUGCUUUUGCCUUGGAAGGUCAUUUUCUGAUAAGGUUCUAUAUCCUCUGCAAAUCAAGUCAGGUACUUAUAGCGAGUAUGCAUUCUCCUCCUGCCAGUCUGGAGAUGAUCAAAAAGCAUAUAACAGGCUUGGUCUAUUUUCCUAUUGGGUUGUUGGGCUUUUUUUCCUCUUUAUUUACUUGUAUAGAGUUUUAGACCUCUGUGUAUGUAUGGUGUACAAGUGACAAUAUUCAGAUCCGUAAAUUGUAACCCAGUCUGGGAGCAAAGAAGAUACAGAAAAAUGACUUACUUUCUGCUUGAGUAGUAAAAUUGAGAUUCAAAUUUUG